rnacentral:rRNA from 1 species
UACGGAAGGCAGCAGUGGGGAAUAUUGCACAAUGGGCGCAAGCCUGAUGCAGCCAUGCCGCGUGUAUGAAAAAGGCCUUCGGGUUGUAAAGUACUUUCAGUCGUGAGGAAGGUGUUAAGGUUAAUAACCUUAGCAAUUGACGUUAGCGACAGAAGAAGCACCGGCUAACUCCGUGCCAGCAGCCGCGGUAAUACGGAGGGUGCGAGCGUUAAUCGGAAUUACUGGGCGUAAAGGGCACGCAGGCGGUUAAUUAAGUUGGAUGUGAAAUCCCCGGGCUUAACCUGGGAAUGGCAUUCAAGACUGGUUAGCUAGAGUCUUGUAGAGGGGGUAGAAUUCCAUGUGUAGCGGUGAAAUGCGUAGAGAUGUGGAGGAAUACCGGUGGCGAAGGCGGCCCCUGGACAAAGACUGACGCUCAUGUGCGAAAGCGUGGGGAGCAAACGAGGGAUUAGAUACC